UACGUAGGGUGCGAGCGUUGUCCGGAAUUACUGGGCGUAAAGAGCUCGUAGGUGGUUUGUCGCGUUGUUCGUGAAAACUCACAACUCAAUUGUGGGCGUGCGGGCGAUACGGGCAGACUGGAGUACUGCAGGGGAGACUGGAAUUCCUGGUGUAGCGGUGGAAUGCGCAGAUAUCAGGAGGAACACCGGUGGCGAAGGCGGCGACCUGGGUCGAGACUGACGCUGAGGCGCGAAAGCGUGGGGAGCAAACAGG
rnacentral:rRNA from 1 species